rnacentral:rRNA from 14 species
CGAACGUCGAGUUAAAGUGCCAAAAUAUCCGCUCACCUAGAUCCCACAAAAGGUGUUGGUUCAUAUAGACAGCAGGACGGUGGCCAUGGAAGUCGGAAUCCGCUAAGGAGUGUGUAACAACUCACCUGCCGAAUGAACUAGCCCUGAAAAUGGAUGGCGCUGAAGCGAAUUACUUAUACUCGACCAUCAGGCGAAGUGCCAACGCCUGAUGAGUAGGAGGGCGUGAAGGUUGUUGCGCAGCUUAUACCGUGAGGUUAAGUGAAACGGCCUUUAGUGCAGAUCUUGGUGGU